GUUAUCUUGGUAGAUACCUGAUGUCAGAAAUAACGAUACAAAUGAAUGUAUGGGUCAUACUUUUUUUAAGGGAGUAUAGAGUUGUUCUAAAGGUGUAUGCCAAUGAAUGAAAUCUCGGAGGUGACUUAUCACUUGUCACGGCAUAUCAAAACAACAUAAUAUAGGCAGGAGGAUACUAGUCGAAGAGUGGACACUCGAGCAAGGAAUACUAAAAACAACUCGAAGUGCGUCCUAAAAUCGCGCUCACUUUUUUUUUUCUACAUGAGGAGGCUAACACAUUCUUCCUUUAUUUUAUAAAUCAUAAUAAAGGAAAAUGUGGUUCACCAAAUUUAAUUAUUUUUCUUUUGUUAUUAAUUAUUACUUAAUUAAUAAUGGUGUACAAGUGUUCUGCUCCUGGAUGCAAGCAGGGCUAUGACGGCAUUACUAAGGAUCCUUAUAUAUCUUAGGGCCCUCUCAAGAGAUAUGAUUUACUUAAAACCAACAGCGAAUUCAAGACUAUGCAGUCUGCAUUUUAAAGUCACUGAUUUUAUUACUGAAUCUUUAGAUCUAUCCCGUGAUAAAGGAAAAUUACUCCAACGAAGGCAGUUAAAAGAGGAAGCCAUCCCAUCAAAGUGGCCGAAUCUGGCAAGCUACCUCUUAUCACCAUCACCCCCUCCAAGACCAAUACAGACAUCAACUACCACCAAUAGAGUGCAUUUGGAGAAUGAAAGACAAUAAGCUCUGGAGUAUGAAAUGUUGAUGGAAAAGACCGUUCUUUUCAGGAUCUUCCAAAAACAGCAAGGAAUAGUAUUUUAUAUAUAUCACUAUUACUAUUAAUACCCCUAAUGGAAAAUUCUACGGAAAGGAAAAUCAAACUUAUCUUAUAAAAUGGUUUUAUGAUUUACAACAGGAAUGGUCUGUUGAAGAAAUAGUUAGCAUGGUAUAUAAAUCAAUUUAAGCUAUCUGCCUCUAAAAUAACAAAAUGAUUCUAGUUAGUGCAAAAAGUGAAUUCUUCUUGUCUUACCAAUCUGUGAUGCCUAUAUCAACAAAAAUAAAUUAGUGAAUAUACUUAGUUGUACUUCAGUGAAAAGUGGUUUAUUUAACAAAUAUCCAAAGGACACUACUGAAACGUAAAUAGUUUCCUUAUUUGACACAAUUCAACUUGUUGAAGUCGAUUCAUACAAAACCAAAGAAAGAAUAGUUUCUUAAUCUUAUCCCUGAAAGUAGAUCAAUAUGAUAUGCAAAUUGAGAACAUUAUGGGGAAAUCUCUCUGCUAUAUAACUUUCUCUAGGGAUCUUCAAGACCAGCAAAGAAAAUUAUUUAUAUUGUCGGAUAUAUAUCACAAUCAUUAUCCAAAAAAUUGCUAUGUCUGCACAUCUCUAAAAAUAUAUAACUAUUAUAUGACCUUAAAUCAGAAAUAAUAAAAGUAAAUACUCAACUACCGUUAGUUAUCAUAAUACCUUCAACUAGAAAUGAACUUCUUAGAAACUUAUGUAGAAAUGAGAUACGUUCAAGUCUUUUAGCAAUGAUUACAGAUUCCUAUUAUGUCUACAGUUUUGUUUACACUAUGUGUAAUCAUAUUCUAGAAGCACUUUACUUUAGUUGAUGGUAUUAUUAUAUUUUUUAAUAAGUAAUAGUAAUUGAGUAUUUACCAUGUAUUUUAUCCAAUAUCCUAUGAAAAACCAUCAACAACUUGCAAAUGUGGUCACUGUUUUCUACCUAUAUUCCUAAAAUAUCGAUAAACUUUUCAACGUUACAGUGAAAAAUUCUGCGUCACCUAAUGGAGAUAAAAUAUUUGACAUCAUCAAUACAACAACACAAACAUUGCCAAACUACAUUUGAACUAACAGAUGAUUGUACUUCCAAUAUUAUAUUUUUAUUAUUAGAUACGAAAUAAGAACAAUUUUUAUACUUAUGUGAAAAAAAAUAUAUGCUAAAUGAAUGUCGAAAGUAAUAUAAGUUAAGUUUUAAUUUGACUGGGUAUAAAAUGAUAUUAUUAUGUAAAAGGAUAAACAUUAUUUAGGAUAUGUUAAGAGUCAGAUAAAUUUAUCAAUGUUCAUAAAUCAUACUAGUCAUUUCUCUUCUUUGUAGUUACAGGAAAAGAGAGUGUUAAAACAAGUUAUUAAAGAAAAUAUAAUAGCUUCUUCUACUUUCGGAAGCCGAAACAUGUGUUUGCGAAAUAAAAUUGUCUUCGGAAGAAAUACAAUCUUUGCUUGAAGAAGAAGAUUUUGACAGUGGCACUGAGUGUUCUCAAGUUUUAGCUAUUGAAGAAGCAGCAGCGGACACCGAUUGUGACUCUGAUUCUCCUAACAAUGA
rnacentral:lncRNA from 1 species